UACGGAGGGGGCUAGCGUUGUUCGGAAUUACUGGGCGUAAAGCGCACGUAGGCGGCUUUGCAAGUCAGAGGUGAAAGCCCGGGGCUCAACCCCCGGAAUUGCCUUUGAGACUGCAUCGCUAGAAUUGUGGAGAGGUAAGUGGAAUUCCGAGUGUAGAGGUGAAAUUCGUAGAUAUUCGGAAAGAACACCAGUGGCGAAGGCGACUUACUGGACACAUAUUGACGCUGAGGUGCGAAAAGCGUGGGGAGCAAACAGG
rnacentral:rRNA from 1 species